AAGUGUUAUAGCUCUUUUAGAAUAAGUCUAGCAGGUUUUCUGGCUUCACUGGAAAACCCUC
ensembl:snRNA U7 U7 small nuclear RNA